rnacentral:rRNA from 1 species
GGUUGAUCCUGCCAGUAGCAUAUGCUUGUCUCAAAGAUUAAGCCAUGCAUGUCUAAGUAGAAAUAACUAUUUUGUACUGUGAAACUGCAGAUGGCUCAUUAAAUCAGUCAUAAUCUAUUUGAUGAUCACUUCGACCGUCAGUUUGCUGUGGGCUCUUUCGGGGGCUUUGCAGUGGGCUGACUUCCCAUCGGAACUACAUGGAUACCCGUAGUAAUUCUAGAGCUAAUACAUGCGUCAAGUCCUGACUGGAUUUAUCCGGAAGGGACGUGUUUAUUAGAUACCCAAAACCAA